AUUGCACGCUGGCGGCAGGCCUAACACAUGCAAGUCGAACGAGUGGCGGACGGGUGAGUAAUGUCUGGGAAACUGCCUGAUGGAGGGGGAUAACUACUGGAAACGGUAGCUAAUACCGCAUACCAUCGGAUGUGCCCAGAUGGGAUUAGCUAGUCGGUGGGGUAAAGGAUCACCUAGGCGACGAUCCCUAGCUGGUCUGAGAGGAUGACAAGCCACACGGGAACGGAGACACGGUCCAGAGUCCGACGGGAGGCAGCAGUGGGGAAUAUUGCACAAUGGGCGCAAGCCUGAUGCAGCCAUGCCGCGUGGAUGAAGAAGGCCUUCGGUUUGUAAAGUACUUGCAGCGGGGAGGCGUUACCCGAAGAAGAAGCACCGGCUAACGCCGGGCCAGCCGCCGCGGUAAUUC
rnacentral:rRNA from 1 species